rnacentral:lncRNA from 1 species
CACACAGGUGGGGAAGGUUAGAAGGCAACAGAUAGAGAAUGGUACUGAUUGUGUUAAGCAUAAAACACCAUCUGUUUCAUAAGUAAGACGGGAACAAAAUCUGCACGUCUUGAGGGAUACUAUCCCGCUGCUAGAAGUCAGUGCUCUUUUUUAUUUAUUUUUUAUUUUCUUGCUACAUUUUCAAGCUUCAGCAUAAAGCAGUUAGAACGUAGAAAUGGUCAGCUCAUAAAUCAGGGGGCUGUUGAAAAGAUGCUGAAGUUUAAAUUACCACAGGGCCUCUUGGACCUGUAACAUGUCAGGAAAAGAGGGAAUUUUAAAUGAGUAUUGUGGUUGGCAUGAGAGAAGAUAGAAUGAAUUUCAGUUCCCAAUGUUUUUAAAUAGAGGAGUACACGCUUAAAUAUCAACAAAUGUGAUGGUGAAAAUGUUCUUCCUUGACUAUUGCUUUCUUCUCAAUUUCAAAUGACCAAGUGGAAAAAAAAAAAGGUUUUGGAAUGGCACAGUCAAUAGGACAGCAUAUUAACUUCUUUGUUAUCGAAUCAGAAAACUUUCUUGAGGGUUGCUGGUUAUGAAGAAGCAUUACAAGCAAAGAUACAUGGCUGAAUGCCAAUGUGACUAAGCUGCAGAGCUAUGUGGAUGCUGUGGGCCCUGCACAUGGCCGCAAGGGGAAAGGGGCAAUGCUCCUCUGUGCUGUAUAUGCAGAAAAUUCUGCAUGGGAAAAGCUGUGGGUGGGAGCAGAUAGCUGCAAACUUCUGAAAGAGAAGGUGUGUUGGAAUGUUAAAAUGAAAGACAAAGAUUUCAGAAGAUCUUGAAGACGAUGAUGUGCUCAGAAAUCAUCUGCCCAUAUGAAGUGCUUCUUCCUGAAUCCAAAGGCUGAAUGUGUACUAAUACAUCAAAAAUCUAUCUUUGGAAGCAUGCUCCCCUGCUCAAACAUUUAAAACACCAGGAUUUCAUCACGGGGCAGACUAAGUGCAAGAAUUCUUCCCGGGUGUUGAAGUUCUGCAACCACCACCACACUGUAGAUAGAAGCUUUACAUAAAAUCAGUAGUCAACAGCUGCGUGAGGGAAUCCCGCUAACAGAAGCUGUGUCAAUGCCAGGGGCAGUUCCAAUUCUAUGCACCAUCAGGACCGGACAGCAACGGGCGGACGGAGAUGGUGGAUGAGAGCUGCCAGGUGCAUGCAACUUCUUGCCCAAGAUUUCCAAGACCUGAUGGUGUGGAGAGCUUUAAAAGAAGGAUCUGAAGGAAAGCAGUGAUGCAACUUCGUGGGUGCCUCUUGCUGUGAUUUAGUGCUGUCUGUGCUCAGGCACCAGCUCAGCCUGCAGCCAGGCAUCACUUCUAUCACUAAAGUAGUGCUGCACACUGUGUGGAUAUCCCACAGACUAGUCAAAAGAGGACAAAGCAUCUCUCCUCUCACUUGGAGUACAGCAUGCACCAGUAACUUGCAUGAGAAUUGUAUUACCCAGAACCUGCAUGAUGACUUCACACACCACAAAAUAUGGGCAGUCACAGGAGUGCAACUGCAGGGGCCCUCCUUGGCUUUCUUCAGAUCACAGUUUGCCAGCUCCCAUCCCAGAAAUGUGAGUCCUGAGAAUGACUGCAGAAACUUUUACUUGUCUGAGCUCCAGGAGUAUUUAUGUAAUUUAAUCGAUGAACUGCACUGAUUUAUUUGCACUAAGUAACUCCUUGGGAUCUGGAUAAUAGAUAAGGGUGUGCACAGUGCUGUACAAACACAUCAUAAAUAAAUGCAGCUUGCAAAUCAAUUGUCAGAUAUUGAUGAUUAAUCUCCUUAUAGUAAAAUAAUGUUACAUCUGUCCAUUAUGGCUUUUUUUUCUUUUCUUUUUUUAAUUUUAA